GCUCGCUAUAAGAGUCAAUUAGAAAGCUUAAGGGGUUAGGAUAUUGCACCAACCGUAUAUGUAAAUAUUCUUCAAAAAAAAAAAAGAAGAAAAAGAAUAAGGGGAAUAAACUGUAAAAAGAUACUACACCAAACCCACAUUAAGUUAGAAGCUUUAAAGAUAAGAGUGGGGAGUUGGUGAAAGAAGAUCUCUAAAAAUUUUUAUGGCUAAUACUUAACUAUUAAUUGGAUCGAAUUGAUAAUCCAAUGAAAUAUCUCUUUAAUGAUCUGGCUAGGUAUCCAC
rnacentral:lncRNA from 1 species